GAGUUUGAUCAUGGCUCAGGAUGAACGCUGGUGGCGUGCCUAACACAUGCAAGUCGAGCGCGGUUGUGCUUAGUAUUGAGUGUUUUAUUGAUAUAAAACAUUGAAUUCUAUGCACAACUGAGCGGCGGACGGGUGAGUAACGCGUGGGUAACCUGCCCUAUACACAUGGAUAACAUACUGAAAAGUUUACUAAUACAUGAUAAAAUAGUUUUUCGGCAUCGAAGAAUUAUCAAAGUGUUAGCGGUAUAGGAUGGACCCGCGUCUGAUUAGCUAGUUGGUGAGAUAACUGCCCACCAAGGCGACGAUCAGUAGCCGACCUGAGAGGGUGAUCGGCCACAUUGGAACUGAGACACGGUCCAAACUCCUACGGGAGGCAGCAGUGGGGAAUAUUGCACAAUGGGCGCAAGCCUGAUGCAGCAACGCCGCGUGAACGAUGAAGGUCUUCGGAUCGUAAAGUUC
rnacentral:rRNA from 1 species